UCUGAAACAGAUCCAAGAUGUUGUUUGAGCCAUGCAACUAGAAGAUCUCAUAGAACUAAAGUUAUCUAAUUUACAGAAAAGGUUUUACGUGACGUCUAUUGUACAGAUUCAUAUGAAAACCAUAGUUCAAACUCCAAGGUUUAAGAAGUAAGAAAGAUCAUGCCAUUUGCAACAAACAUGCAUGCAUAUUUGAAAAGCAACUGUAAGUAUGCUAUUGGACAUUGGUAAAGAUUGAAUAUCUGACCAUGGCAUAUCAAGAAACCAUGGAAUGAGUACUGCUUAUCAAGAUCUGGGUGUGAGAAGACUUAAAAAGUCAGAUAGUCAGUGAGAACCAGCUAGAAUCCAUGGGAAAAAGUGGGAAGAUGAAGUGUUUGGAGGGCUUUUAAAUGGAGUAAAAUGGAAACAAAGACAAGUUAUCCCAACACCAAAAAACUGGAGUUUUUGUUGGGAGGAAUGGACAAUGGAAAGCACGCAAGCCAAGUCUGUUGUGGGAAAACUAGAAGACCAAAAAAAGCACGAAAGUCAAGAAAGAAGUCUCUUUUCACAUGAAAGUGGACAUGACAUUCAUCACAGUCAUAACAAUACAGGCAUGAUAGGAAGCCACCGGAGAACUUCGAUUGGAGGAACGUCAUAAACAGAUUCAUGUGUCAAAUAGUAAUUUGGAAAAGAUAGACAGAAGUAUAUGUGUAGGAGGAUUGAUAAUAUUGGAAAAUGGAAGACUCUCAGAGGGGAUUGCAAUGGUCACAUUUAGGUACGUGAGUUUCCAGUAGAGAUGUUUCAGCCAUAACACAGGCCUGGUAGAAAAAGGGAAAAAGAAGGAAGGAAAAAAGAAAGAAAAAAUCAAUUAAUACCUGAAGACAAAUACUGCUAUGAAUGGUUACAUCUAGGACUUCUGAAAUUAGCCCCAGAUUCAACUCAUUUUUUUCUGCAUUUGCUGAGCAAUAUGACAUGUUUACACCGAUUAGCUAAAAAGUUAUGUGAAGAAUGGGCAACAAUAUCUCUAAGGCAAGAUAUGUUCAGAUCCAAUAUAGUUCAUAUAGACCUUGUCAGAGUAAAUGACCAUGUGCCUUUCAGAACACUAAAGAAUAAAAUCCUUCCACAUUAGAAUGACAAAU
rnacentral:lncRNA from 10 species